AGUGAACGCUGGCGGUAGGCCUAACACAUGCAAGUCGAACGGCAGCACAGUAAGAGCUUGCUCUUACGGGUGGCGAGUGGCGGACGGGUGAGGAAUACAUCGGAAUCUACUUUUUCGUGGGGGAUAACGUAGGGAAACUUACGCUAAUACCGCAUACAACCUACGGGUGAAAGCAGGGGAUCUUCAGACCUUGCGCGAUUGAAUGAGCCGAUGUCGGAUUAGCUAGUUGGCGGGGUAAAGGCCCACCAAGGCGACGAUCCGUAGCUGGUCUGAGAGGAUGAUCAGCCACACUGGAACUGAGACACGGUCCAGACUCCUACGGGAGGCAGCAGUGGGGAAUAUUGGACAAUGGGCGCAAGCCUGAUCCAGCCAUACCGCGUGGGUGAAGAAGGCCUUCGGGUUGUAAAGCCCUUUUGUUGGGAAAGAAAAGCAGCAGGUUAAUACCCCGCUGUUCUGACGGUACCCAAAGAAUAAGCACCGGCUAACUUCGUG
rnacentral:rRNA from 1 species